UGCAUCUCCAGUACUGGUUGCUGCCCGAUGUCUUAUAUCAGGUGUCAGAGACCUGUUUGAAUACUUAGAAGACUCUACUGCAACGUAGUUAUUCCAGCUCCUCAGGACUCCUAUUUCUUACCUCUGUCUCUCUGAGUUAAGAGAGAAUUCAUCUGACAGACUGCACAGCUCUUUUAUCUCAGUCAUUGCCUUGAACUGAUUCAGAGCCUAUUCCAGAUGAACCAGUGCCAAUAAUCCAACCUACUUCAACUGUGGGAAGGUUAGAACCUCACUGAAAGAAAAAGUGUCUUCCUUGGUAAGGUUCCAAAUGUCAGUUAUUAUAUGUAUAUAGUA
rnacentral:lncRNA from 1 species